UAGGCGGGUUCUGAAAAGCCUUGAAUAGAGUAGGAA
rnacentral:ncRNA from 1 species